UACAGAGGUCUCAAGCGUUGUUCGGAUUCAUUGGGCGUAAAGGGUGCGUAGGUGGCAUGGUAAGUCGGAUGUGAAAUCCCGGGGCUCAACCCCGGAACUGCAUUCGAUACUGCUGCGCUAGAGUACUGGAGAGGAGAUUGGAAUUUACGGUGUAGCAGUGAAAUGCGUAGAUAUCGUAAGGAAGACCAGUGGCGAAGGCGGAUCUCUGGACAGUUACUGACACUGAGGCACUGGAAGCCAGGGGGAGCGAAACGGG
rnacentral:rRNA from 1 species